UAAUUUUAGUCCUAAUCUAAUUAGGACUUUAGGAAUCCUACUCCAAGUAGGACUCUAAUAAUUUGAAGUCCUAAUCUUAUUAGAACUCUAGGAGUCCUACUUCAAGUAGGACUCUUGAACCUUAUCAAAUAAGAUCGAGCCCAAUUAAUUAAGUCCAAUUGAUUCAAUCAAAUUGCAAUCUAAUUGCAAUUAAUCUCUUCUUCAACUCACUAACUCUUAGUGGGUUAAACCAAUUAUCAGUCAAAUUGAUAAUUACAAACCAUUGUGAUUCCAAAUCACAAUCCAACCAUUAGAUCAAUCAGAUCCUCUAUUAUGUGUGAUCCCAUAGGUUCUAUUCUAUCUGGUAGUGAGAUAUAUUGUGAUUCCUAUCACAAUAUCAUUGAAACUCCUUUCAAUGGGUUGGAACAAUUCCAACUCUUCUCAUUUGGGUUCACUGAUCAUCAAGUGAAUGUCUCUGAGUCUCACAAUCCACCAGUGACACCUAGCAGCAUGUAGUGGCAACCCAGUAGAAUGGAAUAGAUGAACCUCUAGAUGCAGUUAGCGUAUGAUACAGUCCCUCUAUCGUGGAUCCCGACAGGAUGGAGGUCAUGGAUAACUCGUCAAACUCCAUCAUCUGUCAUAUGUAAAAUUUAUUCAACUCUAGUUCGAGAUUGGAAAACUCUUUUUUCAAAAAUACCUUAGCCAAGGAUUUACGAACUCAGUCUCAUAAAUCACAUAGGACUCUCCUAAUCUAUCAAGGUCGAUAGAUUCCAUCUAGAUGCACCCCUACUCCUGCAAUGAACCUACUGCAGCCAAUCUGCACCACAAGGACCCAAAUGGAUAGGGCCCAUAUUUAUGUGCUUGUCAAACUACAGCAACCUCACUAUGAAUAGCCGAGGCAUCGCAGGUCAAAGGACCAGCCAUACAACUGCAGCAUCAAGUAAGUCACUGAUGAGUGGAUAGACAUCCAAGUGACUACUUGCUUUGGUCACGCUCAGUACCCUUAUUCUCUAACAAGCACUUGCACAAGCACUCCAGUGUCCCUACACUGUGGACUCAAGACUCAUCCAUCUGACUAAGUGAUUUGUGCACUAAUCUUAGCGGAUCGAUCACCGUCCCUCAUGAUGGAUCCAUCGAUCAGGAGCAAUUCAGGAAUUAAUCACCAAUGACACAUGCCUCAAAUUCUCAACUCUUGAGAAUUUGCGUCAUUAUCUUAUUAAUUCCUUGGACGAUUCAUGGACACAUAAGAACCUGAAUGAAAAGAAUGCCCAUCCUAAUAAAUUCAUUAUUAGGUCAAGUACAAAUUUAUGUCCCAGAACAAAAUAAUGCGUCAGCCAAAUUGGCUUCUUGGGCAUACUUCUAACAAUGACUAUGUAGGACAAGGAAAGACCACUAAAGCUUCUGAUGGAGCUGUGGAAAGGGGUUAGAAGACACCUUACAUUUCAGAAUACUCGAUGCUGGAUGUUAGUAUGUGUAAUGUUGCGCAUUACAAGGCAUGCUGCUUGGAUGGUAGUAUAUGUGUAAUGCUGCAAAUUGGUAUGACUUUUGGAUUCUCCAAUUUUAAAAGCUUAGGAUUAAUGCAUGGAUUUGCAGUCUAGCAUCUAAAGAUCAGUAUUAAUAUGUUUCUUACAGAAAUCUAGUUCAACAUGAAACCAAGAUAAGUAUCACAUAUGGAGUCAUCUUCCAGUUAUAAUAUAUUUAUUUAACGGGAGGUGGUAUCCCCUACCCAGCCAGCCAGUUGUAGGUCGGAUUUGAACAAAGUCAUUGCGUACCACAUCCCAAUCACUUUCCUAAUUGGGCUAGUAGGAACCCAUCAUCAUCCAUUUGUAAUCGAUCAACAAUCAAGCCAAAAAGUAGCAUUGUUACCUGAAGAAAGAUUGCAGAUGCAAUUGAUCAUUUAGUCUAUGCAUAAAUACGAACAUUAAUUAAAGGGUGCAUUUGGUUUAUAACUAUGUUCCCAGUGUUCUUAAAUUAUUAAACAUUAUUUUAAAUAAUUUUUUGAUCAUCCAGUGGUAUAAAUACCUAAAAAAUGAAGGCUUGCGUUCUUUCUGGUUCGGUUUGUAGCUUUUGGAGUAUAUCUAUAUCAUCAUACUUUAAAGGAAUCCAAGAAAAUUCUUUAAGUAUCCUUGUCAAUAUAUAGAUUGAUAUUGUUUGACAUUAGCAUGUCAAUCAGGGAAAAAAAUAUAGCAAGGCGCUAUUAAGAUCUAACAAUCUAUUGCCAAUCUUCAAACAGUAGAAUUCGAUGCUCAAUGCCAAAUGAUGCUCUCUUAUGUGUGAUUAAAUUUGAUGCUGCUGAAAACUGGCCCAUCCAAGGCACUGCGAUUAGAAGCACAAUGAUGCUGUAGAGCUCGGCUAUUGGCUACUUUGGUGGGGAUCGGAGAGGGCGAACGACGCACAGUUGCUACCGGGGUCCUUGUUGGGUGGACGGACUCCAACCUGAAAUAGCACAAAUGAAGAAGUCCUCGGGCUGGAGCAUAUCCGGCGGGGGACUCUCUGAUGCCUAAGUUAGGAUGGUUCCCUAAAUGCCCUGGCCAAGUUCUUUUGAACUCAUCUAAUAAAUCACAUAUGAUCUCUCCUAAUCUAUCAAGGUUGAUAGAUUCCAUCUAGAUGCGACCCUAAUCCGAUAGUGAACCUACUACAGCCAAUCUGCACCAUAAGGAUCCUUAUUAAUAGGGCCUAUGUUAUGUGCUCGUCAAACUACAGCAACCUCACCGUGAAUAGCUGAGGCAUCGCAGGUCUAAGUACCAGUCGUACAACUGCAGCAUCAAAUAAGUCACUGACGAGUGGAUAGACAUCCAAGUGACUUCUUGCUUUGGUCACGCUUAGUACCCCUGUUCUGUAACAAGCACUUGCACAAUCACUCCAAUGUCCCCAUACUGUGGACUCAAGACUCAUCCAUCAAAAAAAGUGAUUUGUGCACUAAUCUCAUCGGAUCGAUCAACAUCCUUCGUGAUGAUCCAUCGAUCAGGAGCAAUUCAGAAAUUAAUUACCAAUGACACAUGUCUUAAAUUCUCAACUCUUGAGAAUAUGUGUCAUUUUAUUAAUUUUUUGGACGAUUCAUGGACACAUAAUAACAUGAAUGAAAAGAAUGCCUAAUUUUAUUAAUUAAUAAAAAGAUCAAGUACAAAUUUUGUUAGCAACCCUCAUAUGCCAUGAAAAUUUUGAAAUAAUUUUUAGAUUGCAGCGGAAAAACAUAUGCGGGAUCCGUUCAUUGCUUGAACGUGUUUUAAAACCUUUCGUUUGUAGAUAGAUUAGAAUUAAAUUAUUUUAAACCAUUUAAAAAUCAAUAAGAAGAUCAGAUCUUCACCUUGUGCGGGUAGAUGAUCUCUGCAAAUCUGAUUUAUGUGGAUUUGUUGAAGGUUCGAUGGAAGCCGCACACGCAUCCGGCCUCUACGGGUAUCCACACGAGGUAGAGGACCGAUCGAAGCUCUCGUAUCUCUCCGGGGUGCUAGCUCCCUUGUAGAGAUUUAUUUUGAUGGUUGAAGCUCCCCCUUUUCAAUUAACUUUUGAUUGAUUUGUGGGAAGGAACAAAGAAAAGGAAGAAGAUUGCAACACUCCUUACAGCCUUUUCUUUUGUUCUCGCGGUGGAUGAAGGAAUAGAAUAGGCAUUAUCCCACAUGCCUUCCUCCCUUUUCUUUUUGUUCUCACGGCUGAAAAACAAGAGAGGAGAAUAGGGGGCUUGCGGCUGGCUACUCAAGGGAAGAUUCCUUUUCUUUUAAAAGCUCACGGCACAAACUUUUUGGGAGGGAUUUUAUAAGGGGGCAGCCCCUGGUUUUUUUAAUAUGGAUAAGUGUGGAGCUCCUAACUUUUAGGAGCUCCAUAUUUAUCCCAAGGAGGGGCGUACGCCCCUCCUUUUCCCUUCAAUUAAUGAGCCCACGGAGGGGCCUACGCCCCUCCCUCAUUUCUAUCAUGCACGUGGAGCUCCUAAAAAUUAGGAGCUCCAAUGCUUAUCCCUUUUGUGCCGCACAAAGAAGAGAAAGAGGAGGGCGUGAGCCCCUUUCCUCUUAUGUAG
rnacentral:lncRNA from 1 species